CCCCAAAUAGCUCAGUUGAGAGAGCGUUAAACUGAAGAUCUAAAGGUUCCUAGUUUGAUCUCGGGUUUCGGCA